GGCGGACGGGUAAGUAACGCGUAAGAACUUGCCCUUUAGACUGGGAUAACAAGAGGGAAACUUCUGAUAAUACUGGAUAAGUUAGUAUAUCGCAUGAUAUGCAAAUGAAAGCUACGGCACUAAAGGAGAGUUUUGCGUCCUAUUAGCUAGUUGGUAAGGUAAGAGCUUACCAAGGCGAUGAUAGGUAGCCGGCCUGAGAGGGUGGACGGCCACAAGGGGACUGAGAUACGGCCCUUACUCCUACGGGAGGCAGCAGCG
rnacentral:rRNA from 1 species